AACGAACGCUGGCGGCAGGCCUAACACAUGCAAGUCGAGCGAGGACUUCGGUUCUAGCGGCGGACGGGUGAGUAACGCGUGGGAAUGUGCCCUUCUCUACGGAAUAGCCCUGGGAAACUGGGAGUAAUACCGUAUACGCCCUAUUGGGGAAAGAUUUAUCGGAGAAGGAUCAGCCCGCGUUGGAUUAGGUAGUUGGUGGGGUAAUGGCCUACCGAGCCGACGAUCCAUAGCUGGUUUGAGAGGAUGAUCAGCCACACUGGGACUGAGGCACGGCCCAGACUCCUACGGGAGGCAGCAGUGGGGAAUCUUAGACAAUGGGGGCAACCCUGAUCUAGCCAUGCCGCGUGAGUGAUGAAGGCCUUAGGGUUGUAAAGCUCUUUCAGCUGGGAAGAUAAUGACGGUACCAGCAGAAGAAGCCCCGGCUAACUCCGUG
rnacentral:rRNA from 1 species